rnacentral:rRNA from 1 species
GGGCCCGCACAAGCGGUGGAGCAUGUGGUUCAAUUCGACGCAACGCGAAGAACCUUACCGGGGUUUGAACUGCACGGGACAGCCGUAGAGAUACGGUCUUCCUUCGGGACCCGUGUAGAGGUGCUGCAUGGCUGUCGUCAGCUCGUGUCGUGAGAUGUUGGGUUAAGUCCCGCAACGAGCGCAACCCUUGCCUCCUGUUGCUAACAGGUAAAGCUGAGCACUCUGGAGAGACUGCCGGUGAUAAACCGGAGGAAGGUGGGGAUGACGUCAAGUCCUCAUGGCCUUUAUGCCCCGGGCUACACACGUGCUACAAUGGCUGGUACAAAGGGUCGCAAAACCGCGAGGUGGAGCUAAUCCCAAAAAGCCAGUCCCAGUUCGGAUUGCAGUCUGCAACUCGACUGCAUGAAGUUGGAAUCGCUAGUAAUCGCGGAUCAGCACGCCGCGGUGAAUACGUUCCCGGGCCUU